UCCUCUCGGCCAUGUGAAUAUUUGAGGGAUCGUUUGUCCCGUCAUUGUGCUAAGUGACGGCGGCGGCUCCGGGGGUCACGGCGGGCCCCGACUCCUUCGCGUCCUCCUUCGGGGCCGGGGCAGUGCUGCGGGCUCCCCGGGGUAAUUCAGCCCCGGUGGUGUAGCGAGAGAGCAGAAGCAAUGUUAUUUGAGGAGACAAUUGGUAGUCUAGCAAAUCCCGGCCAGUCAUCAAUAUGGAAACCACUCCGUCUGCUAAUCCGCCGCGCAGCCACGUCCUCCUCGCCGCCCCCUCCGCUGGCCGCCGCCGCUGACACUCCAUUGCAAGUUUUUUUCUCGUUUUGUUAAUGAAAGCUUAAAGACAGUGUCAUUAGCCGGCCUCGUGUGCAGCAGCAGCACGAUAAAGGAAAGUAACGCCGCCACAGAGGGUGAUUUGGCAACACUGAUACAAUCGAUAUCUACCCCGCUGCUCUUGCAUUCAGUUACGAGGAGAAGCGCAAGCUUCAACACGACCCUUCGCCGGCCCCGGCUUCGGCCACGCCCGCCGCCGCUCCUCAGCCGCCGCCCUCCUCGCCACGUCGCAGGGAGAAAAAAAUCAUCACCAUUUUUUCCCUCAAACUGAUUCCCGACGGGAAAAUUGACUCUUUCCUUUAUAAUGACAAGAAUAUAGCACGCCAAACUAAAUCGACGUAAUCGGACAAGGUGAGGGAGAGCGCAUGCGCAACCGAGGGGAAGCUGGGGUCAAGCGACUAUGGUUCCCCUCUCAGACUGCUGUGUGGCCAUCCAACUGCUUGCCCACUCUCCCCUCGCGGCCGACCAGCUGUUCCUCUCAGUCGGCUGCCGUCUCCCUCGCCCGCAGCAGCCGUCCACGCCCGUCCUGCCUGGCCGCCCCCGCCCCCCGGUGACCUUCACACGCCAGGGUGUUCCCUUCAGACCCGGGGAUCCUCGCCGGUCGGUCCAACAAAAUGGCAGUCGGCGGUGCAGGACUCCAGGGUUGAGGCAGCGGCCUCCAGGGGCCAGCUGGGACCUCCGAGGCAUGGCCGGGGGCGGGGCGCCCCCUGCCUCCCUCGCUGCCUCUGGUAGUGACGGUGGACGGUGCCGCAGGUCAGGCCGUGCAGGAUAUAGGUCAAGGUGCCUUAUCCUGAAGGUGGUGUGCUGAGACGCCGACAGAGGGCACCAUCUCCGCUCCGCUUCCCGUCGCUGCCGCACACACAAGACGCUGACGAUGCCCCCAGCCGCCCCCCCUUGCCACCCCAGUCGCCCCUCGCCCCCCUCCUGGCAUGAUGGAGACGCCCCGCCCCGCCCCUGCCCCGCCCCGCCUCGCCCCGCCCCGCCACUCCACGCCCACUCGCCCCGCCCCGCUCCUCCACGCCUGACUGCACUCACCUCCCAGCCGCGCCUCUGAAGGGAAGCCGCGGGAACACUUCAGGAGGACUCUCACCCACUCACCUUCCUGGAAUGAUGACGAGGACUGAUGAAUAAAUGAAUAAAUAAGCAAAUAAUGGAUCAGAAGCAAAAAAUACAAUAAGAUUCGGGCCAAAAAGUUAAGGAAAAUGCAAAUCAAGCCAGAAGACUCCAUGCAAGUCAAGCCGAGUUCAUUCGGACGAGAGAAAAGAGACGGAGGGAAAAGUUCGGUUGAAGAGAAAACGAAGAACGAGACAACGAAGAAGAAAAAGAGAAAGAAAAAUGCCCUCGCUCCUCAACCCACCAAAAGAAUAAGCAAAACUUCUUCCAAGAGAACCAAAAAGAGGUCUCCGGGGACUGAACCCAAAAGGACAGCGGCAGAAAAAGAGGAACACACGAAAAAGAGGAGAGAGAGAAAGAAAGAAGGAACCACGAGAGAUUAGACCCUGAGUCCCACCCAAUCCCAAUCCCUUGCUGCCGAUCCUCCUAACCCCCUGCCCAGCCCUACCCUACCAAGCCCAGCCCCAGUCCAGCGUAAUCCAGCCCCACCUCAGCCCACUCCAGACCCGCCCCGCCCAGCCCUGCAGCCCAGCCUCUUCCUUCCCCGGAGAGCCGCCAUCCUCGUCCUCACCCUCUUCGUCAGGUCUGACAGAGAAAAAAAAAGUACAAUGUAAAAGGCUUUCACUCUUCACUUCCAAAAUUAUGACAAAUUGCCUUUUCUCGAGCUACAAAGGUUAGGUAAAAAAAAAGGCCAGCAAUAUUUUUUACAGGAUUAUGAUGAGCUUAAAAGAAAAAAAAAGAUGAAAGCCUACUUAAUGUUCGUUUUAAACUUGAGCAAAAUGACAUAAUUUUAAGCUGAUGAUAACCCCGAAAAAGUUGAUUGAGGCUAUUAAGUAAUGUCUAAAAAUGACGGCGGCGAAGGCUAUAUAAUUUUGCGUCAAAUUUUGGCAACCCUUUUCACGCUUCCGAAACGUGUGUGUUAGGGAAAGAAUUA